rnacentral:rRNA from 1 species
UACGAAGGGGGCUAGCGUUGUUCGGAAUUAUUGGGCGUAAAGAGCUCGUAGGCGGUUUGUCGCGUCUGCCGUGAAAGUCCGGGGCUCAACUCCGGAUCUGCGGUGGGUACGGGCAGACUAGAGUGAUGUAGGGGAGACUGGAAUUCCUGGUGUAGCGGUGAAAUGCGUAGAUAUUGGGAGGAACACCAGUGGCGAAGGCGGCUCGCUGGACCGGUUCUGACGCUGAGGCGCGAAAGCGUGGGGAGCAAACGGG